AGGAGCUUAGGUUAACGUUAGACCAAAAGCCUUCAAAGCUUUAAGUAAGGGUUAAAAUCCCUCAGCCCCUG
rnacentral:tRNA from 1 species